UUGCCUACGGGUGGCAGCAGUGGGGAAUAUUGGACAAUGGGCGAAAGCCUGAUCCAGCAAUGCCGCGUGAGUGAUGAAGGCCCUCGGGUCGUAAAGCUCUUUUACCAGGGAUGAUAAUGACAGUACCUGGAGAAUAAGCUCCGGCUAACUCCGUGCCAGCAGCCGCGGUAAUACGGAGGGAGCUAGCGUUGUUCGGAAUUACUGGGCGUAAAGCGCGCGUAGGCGGCUACUCAAGUCAGAGGUGAAAGCCCGGGGCUCAACCCCGGAACUGCCUUUGAAACUAGGUGGCUAGAAUCUUGGAGAGGUCAGUGGAAUUCCGAGUGUAGAGGUGAAAUUCGUAGAUAUUCGGAAGAACACCAGUGGCGAAGGCGACUGACUGGACAAGUAUUGACGCUGAGGUGCGAAAGCGUGGGGAGCAAACAGGAUUAGAUACCCUAGUAGUCCU
rnacentral:rRNA from 1 species